UUCUCGGGUUUCUGGGUGCCCCCAAAUCCCGGAAGAGCCCCCAAGAUGUAAAACCCCCCUUCAGGGGACCCCACUCUAAUCUCAGGAGAGAGAGCACACCCAAAGAAACACGAGAAUCC
rnacentral:pre_miRNA from 7 species